rnacentral:lncRNA from 1 species
CGGACUUGGUUCGUGGUGCAAAGGACAAGCGCCUCAGGGUUAAGGGACCUGUUAGGAUGCCCACUAAGGUUCUUCACAUCACUACCAGGAAGUCCCCCUGUGGUGAAGGUAUUUUUGUUUUUUUACUCUUUUGAUUGAUGUUUAUUAUUGUUCAUUGCGCACAUUAUAAGUUUGGUGUGCCUCAAUGUAUCCCUUUGUGCUCAAUUGGAUUAAAAUUUAAACAACAGCCGUGAUAUCAAUUGUGCCUCAUAACAAAAACAUAAUUUUGUUUAGUCUUAUGCAUUAAGUGAUCAUAGACUUGUUUUCCUUUUUUAGUUUGGCAAUGUAUCUAUUAAGAGAGUGAUAUUUUGUUUAUAAUCUAUUAUUUAUUCCUCUCAUUCUGAAAAGCUAUUAAGCGUGAGAUAAAAAAUAUGGUUUGUUUCGAUUUUCAUUCUUUUAGUUGUAGACUUGUAGUGCUCUGCAGGGUAAGCUUAAUUAUAUCUAUAUUUUCCUUUCAAUAUUUUUGUUGAAUAAUAUUUGAUACAUAAGAGGGUGAACCCUGGCACAGCGGUAAAGUUGUGUCUUGGUGACUGGUUGGUCAUGGGUUCAAUUCUGGAACAGCCUCUUUGCAUAUGCAAGGAUAAGGCUGCGCACAAUUACCCUUCCCCAUAUCUUCGCUCUACGAGGAGCCAGCCUCCGGGCACUAGAAUGUUCUUCAACAUAUUUUGAUGGUUGUGCUGUGCUGUUGGGGCUAUAGAAGCUUGAAAAGUUUGGUGCUUUCUAAUCUUACCAAGUUCCUGAAUUGUGUGCUGUUCAUAUGCCUUUAUGGAACAGAAAUAUUGUUGUGUUACUUGGCUUGCUGACUUGAUUUUUGAAGUAUUGCUUUCAGUGUCUAUACUUUCUGAAUGUUAGUUAUUCUGCCUUGUGUUCAUGAAACUGCUGCUUGUUUUUAGGUACCAACACAUGGGAUAGAUUUGAACUUCGUGUCCACAAGAGAGUGAUUGACCUCUACAGUUCCCCAGAUGUGGUUAAGCAGAUUACCUCUAUCACAAUCGAACCUGGUGUGGAAGUUGAGGUGACCAUUGCAGAUGCUUGAUCUAUAUCCAAAUUUUAACUGUUAUGGUUUCCUAGUUUUUCGUCUCCUCUUAUUCUGUAUUUUAUAAGUUUUGAUUGCGGGACCGAGUUGAAUUGUUUUCUUUUGUUUUACGGUUGUAGACGGUUGAUGAAUACCUGAGAAAUGUCAUUUUUAUAUAUUCUAGAAUCCUACAUAUAUUUGUUUUGAAAUUAUUACGAAUCAUUUCUAAUGGACUCAGCUAAGAUUAUAUCUUUUCCUUUUCCUUUAUCAUGUUCUGCAAAUUUUUAAACCUGAAACUGAUUGUGAACUAGAUAAGUUGGAAAGGUGUUUUUGCAAAUUUGUACAAUUUCAAAUUUUACAAAGAUAAAAGCGAGGAAAAAAAGAAAAUAUAAAGCACUUCUAAACAAAGAAAAACAAUAUAUAUGGUGGAGAAAAUUUGUAAAUAUGUAGAAGGGAUUUCUGAUUUCUUUGUCAACAAUUGGACGAGACUUUUCUUUGCAUACAUUUUUGGAAUGCAAGUGCAAUCGCAAAAAGCUGUACUCAAGUCAAAGGAUUUUUUCUAUUGCUCAAAUGAGCAUUCAUGCUCCUAGGUGCUCAUUGGUUGGGUAUUUACAUAAUCAUAAUUAAUAAAUAAAUUAAAUUGUAAGUGAGUAUUAUAUAUAUAACUAGGUUAUAAUUUGCUAUAAUCUGUUAUUGUUUUUAAAGUAUGAGUAUAUAAUCAGUUUCGAAUAAACUAAUUAUAUAAUAAGUUAUAUUUAAAAUAAUUAUAUAAUUUGUCAUGAAUAAAUAAAAUAAGUUAUUUAAAAUAAUCAUAAAUAUAAAAUUAGUUAUAGUUUUAUACCCCAUUUUAUAUAAUUAGUUAUAUAAAACUAGUUGCAGUUGUUUUUUAUAAAUAAAAUAAAAAAAUAGCAGUCAUACAUGCUCCCUUUAUAGCUUUAUUAUAUAAGAAGCAUUCUAUGUUUACAGUGAAGUGUGAAGUUGUUUAGAGUUAAAACUCAAAACUGGGUGAACCUAGCAAGCGAGUUCAUCUCCUCAGCAGUAAAGUUGAGUUUUUUUUGUUAUAUAAAAUAAGUUCUUUAUUAAUUUAUAAAAGUAAAUAAUUAUAUAUCACUUGACCAAUACAAAAAUCAUAUAUCAUAUUAUAUAAGUUUCUCAACCUGUCCCACGCCUCAUGAGAAAGUGCAGACUUAUUUAUCAGCUAAUAUUUAUGAAUGGCCUCUAAUUUGUUUUUUUUUUCUUCUAAAUUGAUCUCUUCAUUUUUUAAUUCCUAAAAGAAUUCCCUUAUUUUUUUUUAAUGACACGCUAGUCUUUUUAAAAAAAUUGUUUUUUUUUCAAUUUUCGAACACAAUGUUAAAUGUUUUUUUAUUAAUUCAAUAUGUGAAACUUGUUCCAAUGUAUUCAUCUAGAAUUAAUUAAUGUUUAAAACAAAAGCAAGUAAACAGCCAUAAAUAAAUGUGAUGAGAAUUGCUGAGUCUCAUCAAUAACCAUAAAACUAAAAAUAAGGUUCACUUUUCAUCAAGUUUACUUUUUUAUUGCUUAUAUGACUUACUUUUCGUGUAACUUUUACCAUGUGUUGUUAUGAUGCUUUGUGUAUAACAGUUGAUUUCUAUAGUUUUAGUGAAUUUAAAAUAAAAUUUAUGUCUUGAAUUAAUAAAAAAAUAUUUAAAAUUGUAUUCAAAAUAUUGAAAAAGAAAAAUGUUUCAAAAGGAGCAAGGUAUCAUUAAUUAAGUAUGUAAGGGUAUUAUUUUAGAGCUUUUAAAAUUUAGAAAAUCAAUUUAAAAACAAAAAAUAAGUUAAGGACCAUACAUAUAUUUUAGAAAAAAAAUUAUACAUUGAUAACAUAAAUUUUUUACGCAAUAAUUCAAUCAUAUUAUAUAUGAUAAGUGUAUGUACUCUUAAAAUAAGUCACUUACGAUGAGAUAAUAUUAAAUUCUAUAUUUUAACCUCAUUUAUUUGUUUAGUUAGUUAUUAAAAUUGCAUUGGGAGCGAAUGGGGCAAGUAAGGAAAUAAUAUGAUUCAUUGGGGGGUAAUUUGCAAAAUUUGACGGAAGCUCUUGGGGGUUCUGCUUAUUUUUGCCCUAAAAACCCUCUAGGUUUUCUAUACCUCUCUCAUUUCCCAACGCAGCAGCAGCGGCAGCUUCAUCUGUUUUUCUGCAUCGGCGUGAACAAUGGCGACGUACGCUGCGAUGAAGCCCAAUAAGCCUGGCUUGGAGGAGUCCCAAGAACAGAUCCACAAGAUAAGGAUCACCCUUUCCUCCAAGCACGUCAAAAAUCUCGAGAAGGGUAUGAAGCUAUUCAUUCUACUUUUUCUUUUUAAGGUUGUCGCUGUCCUUAGGCUUAUGUUUCGAUUUUCAUGUUACUGUUAGUUUGUGGGGACUUGGUUCGUGGUGCAAAGGAUAAGAGGCUCAGGGUUAAGGGACCUGUCAGGAUGCCCACUAAGGUUCUUCACAUCACUACCAGGAAGUCCCCCUGUGGUGAAGGUAUUUUUUUCACUCUUUCCACGCUUGUUAUUAUGGUUAAUUUGCCCCUUUUAUUCUCUGCUUUUCAUUCAUGUUCAUUAUUGGCAAAUGUUAGUUUUUUGAAGGUUAGUUUUGUUAGCAGAGGGGUCGAAACCGCGACCUUUCCCUCUUCCCUUGUCCCUUAACCAUUCAACCCACGUUUUUAGUUUUUUCUGUGUUGUAAUUUUAAUAUGCCUGUCCUUUGUAUAAGUUGUAGUUUUAGAGAAAGUCAAGGCGAAAGUAGUGACCGAAAAUAUCUCCUAGGUG